rnacentral:rRNA from 1 species
AUACGGGGGGUGCAAGCGUUGUUCGGAAUCACUGGGCGUAAAGCGCACGUAGGCGGCCGAUCGUGUCGAAUGUGAAAGCCCUCGGCUCAACCGAGGAAGUGCAUUCGAAACUGGUUGGCUUGAGGUCGGUAGAGGAGAGUGGAAUUCCGGGUGUAGAGGUGAAAUUCGUAGAUAUCCGGAGGAACACCAGUGGCGAAAGCGACUCUCUGGGCCGAUUCUGACGCUGAGGUGCGAAAGCGUGGGGAGCAAACAGGAUUAGAUACCCCGGUAGUCC